rnacentral:rRNA from 1 species
AAGGGCAUUUGAUCAGACAUGGUGUUUUGCGCCCCCCGCUCCUCGUGGGUGGGGGACUCUCGCAGCUCACUGGGCCAGCAUCAGUUUUGGCGGCCGGACAAAACUGCAGGAACGUAGCUUGCUUCGGGAAGUGUUACAGCCUGCAGGAAUACGGCCAGCCGGGACUGAGGAAUGCGAUUCGUCAAGGAUGCUGGCAUAAUGGUUAUAUGCCG